rnacentral:sRNA from 12 species
UCGUGUAAAACGAAGAAAGUAGUCUUGAUACAUCUGGGCGGACGCUGCUUGCAUGGCAGAUAACAGCGUAUCGUAUCUGUUUCAUGCCCAUUGAUGUUAUGCGGUUUGCCGGAUACGCGCCCUGUCGGUGGCGACAUUUAGACAGGGUAAGCCGCACAAGGCGUUUUAUUUCCUUUCAAUAAUU